rnacentral:rRNA from 1 species
UGGUGGAUUGAUUUGUCUGGUUUAUUCCGAUAACGAACGAGACUCCAACCUACUAAAUAGUGGACGAAUCUUUACGUUCGAUUCACUUCUUAGAGGGACAAGCAAUGUUUUAGCUGCAUGAGAAGGAGCAAUAACA